rfam:Salmo salar isolate Sally breed double haploid chromosome ssa09, whole genome shotgun sequence.
GCAGUAGCUAAAUGUAAGUCUCUCUGGAUAAGAGCGUCUGCUAAAUGACUAAAA